CGUGAAAUCAUCCAAAAGUAAGCAAGUAAAGCCGAAAGAGACAUUGGAAAUUCAGUAUGGUUGUUAACGGAGCUGUUAUUGUCGUUUUUGAUAUUCUUUAAACGUAGUGAUGGCUUACGCUUUUCUGCUGUAUGCACUUUUCUGGUGUCUUCACUACCAAACGGUAGCAAGCGAGUUUGAUGUCUUAAGGAAGGUAGUGUGCGUUUUCGGACGUACAUGUUAUAGCCUGAGACUUAUUUUCGUCUGUUAUCGGCUGAUAGUGCCUAUGGCUGAUGAUGUACAUUGUUUUGAUUGUGGUAUAGACUUCUUUAGUCUUUUCGUGAUUAAGAUUGUGUUAUUAUUAGACAGAAGCGCUAAAGGUAAGUGGUGUUUAAGUAGGUACUUUACUUGACCCGUCUUGAAACACGGACCAAGAAGUGUAGCAUAUGGGCAAGUCAAAGGGUCUUACGAAACCCCACGGCGAAAUGAAAGUAAUUUCAGUUGAUGAGAUCCUGGAGACUUCGGUCAAAAGGCGCACCAUCGCCCCGCAAGUUGGAGUUAUAUGCUCAUUGCGGAGGUAGAGCCCAUAUGCUGCGACCCGAAAGAUGAUGACCUAUGCUUGUGCAGGUUGAAGCCAGAGGAAACUCUGGUGGAAGACCGCAGCGGUUCUGACGUGCAAAUCGAUCGUCAGACAUGUGUAUAGGGGCGAAAGACUAAUCGAAUCAUCUAGUAGCUGGUUCCUCUUGAAGUUUCCCUCAGGAUAGCUGGUGCUGACCCUUUAGUCGUAUCCGGUAAAGCCAAUGAUUGGAGGUCCUGGGAGCUAAUAGCUCUCAACCUACUUUUAAACUUUUAAUGGGUACGACGUGCUUCAUAACGUUGUUAUGAUGUACUCAUACUGGGAUAUCAGUACCUAGUGGGCCAUUUUUGGUAAGCAGAACUGGCGCUGUGGAGUAAACCAAACGUUCGGUUAAAGGGCCAAAUUAACGCUCAUGAGACAUCUUAAAAGGUGUUGGUUGAUAUUGACAGCAGGACGGUGGCCAUGGAAGUUGGAAUCCGCUAAGGAGUGUGUAACAACUCACCUGCCGAAUUAACCAGCCCUGAAAAUGGAUGGCGCUUUAGCGUUGACCUUAAACCGAACCAGUAUCGCUAUAGCAGUACGCGAUACUGAGUAAAGAGGUUGCCGUGGUAGUGCUGAAGCUUACGACGUGGGUCGGGGUGGAGCUGCCACG
rnacentral:rRNA from 1 species